AUACGGAGGAUGCGAGCGUUAUCCGGAUUUAUUGGGUUUAAAGGGAGCGUAGGCGGGAGCUUAAGUCAGCGGUUAAAUGGUGCGGCUCAACCGUGCCCUGCCGUUGAAACUGGGUUUCUUGAGAGUGCAAGAGGCGGAUGGGAUUCAUGGUGUAGCGGGUGAAUGCUUAGAUAUCAUGAAGAACUCCGAUUGCGAAGGCAGUCCGCUGGGGCACGUCUGACGCUGAUGCUCGAAGGUGCGGGAAUCAAACAGGAUUAGAUACCCUGGUAGUCCGCACGGUAAACGAUGAUUACCCGCUGUCGGCGGUAGACAGUCGGCGGCCAAGCGAAAGCGAUAAGUGAUCCACCUGGGGAGUACGCCGGCAACGGUGAAACUCAAAUGAAUUGGCGGGG
rnacentral:rRNA from 1 species